GGAUAUUAUCUAUUUUACCCAACCUAAUCCUAAGCCAACCACACCACUCUCAUCUCCUCCAAUCUUCUGCUCGCGUUGUCGUCUUUUUUGCUGCCGUCUUCUGCGCGCCUCUUACCGCCAUCUCCUGAGGUCCUGUCGGCGUCGUCUUCUCCAGUCGCGGUGCCAUCUCAUGAGGUCUCCUCAUCGUCUUCUUCCUCCCACGGAAACCACUGCCUCUUCCACCUGCUCUGGCCAGCUCACGGAGGAAGAAGCAAAUCAGAUUUGUUUCAAAGAGGUAAAUAAAAACGCUCUUUCUUUUAAAUCAGAUAUGUUUUCAGGUUUUUUUGUUCUCUAUUUUUUUAUUUCUUUGUUUUCUAAUUUGAUCCUACAACCCUUCCAAGAGAAAGAAAUCGAGUGCUCCACACACACCCUGUCCUAUCAUACGAACCUUUCUCUCUCACUAAUACCGUCAUAAAGGUCUUUCGAUUAAGUUUUCGGGCACGGAUCGUGGAACCUUCUCGAAGCCUCUUCCCUCUCACUAUUCUAAUUUUGUAAAGUAAAAUUGUCACAUGGAAAAUAGGGAGUUACAAGUACUACUUGAUAAUUUGGGGAUCAAAAGAGAGAUUGCAGGAGAUUUCAUACUGGAUAAUGUUGAGCACUAUAAGAAGUUUUAAUUAACCUCAUUCGAGAGUCUUAGCUACUUGUAAUUGCAUAAGUUAUCAUACCGGAAAUAUAUUAAUUUAUGAAUCACAAACUAUUUGUAAUUGUUCACUAAAUCUUAUAAAAGAAGUUUGGUUUUAAUUGAUUGA